rnacentral:rRNA from 1 species
GGGGAAUAUUGCACAAUGGGCGGAAGCCUGAUGCAGCGACGCCGCGUGAGGGAUGACGGCCUUCGGGUUGUAAACCUCUUUCAGUACAGAACAAGGCUCUCUUUUUGGGGGGUUGAGGGUAUGUGCAGAAGAAGCGCCGGCUAACUACGUGCCAGCAGCCGCGGUAAUACGUAGGGCGCGAGCGUUGUCCGGAAUUAUUGGGCGUAAAGAGCUCGUAGGCGGUUUGUCGCGUCUGCCGUGAAAUCCUCUGGCUUAACUGGGGGCGUGCGGUGGGUACGGGCAGACUGGAGUGCGGUAGGGGAGACUGGAAUUCCUGGUGUAGCGGUGGAAUGCGCAGAUAUCAGGAGGAACACCGGUGGCGAAGGCGGGUCUCUGGGCCGUUACUGACGCUGAGGAGCGAAAGCAUGGGGAGCGAAC